AACGCAUAUUGCACUCUUUGGUAUUCCGAAGAGUAUGCCUGUUUGAGGGUCAUUUGAAAAUUAAUCAAGACACUAGUCUUGGAAUAAUGAGUUUUCCGUGUUAUCAUAUCAUGUGGUAAAUUGGUCACUCGAAAUUAAUGUCAUGUCUUGGCUUGUAACAGACGCGUUUAUUUUAAAUUUUAAAUGUUCGCAACUAAUCGAGUCUUGUGUAAUGGCACGUUCAAUUUUUCUCCCUUUUAAAAGUGAAAGAAAUCGAACAACUUUUUAUAAUCGUGACCUCAAAUCAGGUAAGAGUACCCGCUGAACUUAA
rnacentral:misc_RNA from 1 species